CGAACGUUAGCGGCGGGCCUAACACAUGCAAGUCGAACGCGAAAGGUCUUCGGACUGAGUAGAGUGGCGCACGGGUGAGUAACACGUAGGUAAUCUACCCUUUGGCGGGGGAUAACGUUCCGAAAGGAGCGCUAAUACCGCAUAAGACCACGGAGUCUCCGGAUGCUGUGGGAAAAGGUGGCCUCUUCUUGAAAGCUACCACCGAAGGAUGAGCCUGCGUCCCAUCAGCUAGUUGGUAAGGUAAUGGCUUACCAAGGCGAAGACGGGUAGCUGGUUUGAGAGAAUGAUCAGCCACACUGGCACUGGAACACGGGCCAGACUCCUACGGGAGGCAGCAGUGAGGAAUAUUGGGCAAUGGGCGAAAGCCUGACCCAGCCACGCCGCGUGAGUGAUGAAGGCCCUCGGGUCGUAAAGCUCUGUGGAGAGGGACGAAAACCCUGGUUUCAAAUAGGCUCCAGGCUUGACGGUACCUCUUUAGCAAGCACCGGCUAACUCUGUG
rnacentral:rRNA from 1 species